GCUCGAUUUUUCAGGCUUGAAAUAAUCUCGCAAAAGGGAAGAGAUCCGUUAACUUUCUUAUCAGCUAAAUUCUUCUCGUGUGUUGUUUUGUGUCAAGCAAGUGUCAAAUUUUAGUGUUGUUGCGGCACGUUUUAAAGAAUCAAAUUUACUUAUUUAGUGCUAAUAAUUCAGUGAAAAAUUAUUAAAGUUUAAAGAAAAUCCUCUAAAAACAUUGAGACAUUGGUGUGAUAUAAAAAACCAAUGAAAAAUUGCGAAAAAACUGCAAAAAUGCAAAAUAUUGAAAGUGCAUCCACAUGGCUUUUCAUUUACAACUAAAGCUAAAAACUACAAAAGUUUCGACAACAAAAAGUCAACAUUUUCAUCAUCAUCCAGCUAAAAUCAGGCAGCACAAAUAACAAGGUGAAAAACAUCAACUGCAGCGUAAACGAUAGCGAUGAAGUUGCAUUGCAAUGAGGAACCUUGGGACGAAAAAAAAGCAUCGAAUCCGAGUAACAUCGCCUGGACAUGGACAUCUUCAAAAUUGAAACUCUUGUCGGCGAUCGCCAAAUGUAGCAAUGACUUGCGACAAGAGUUGAUAGCAACGCAAUUGCUUGAGAUCUUCAAAAUCGUUUGGGAAGAAGAAAGUGUCGAUUUUUAAAUAUAUUUUUAGACACAUUUUUAUACAUAUUAUUCAUAAGUCUUGACACGGAGAGCGCCAAUCUACCGUGUUCGUUGAGCUGUCUGUAAUAGUCGAGAAAAUUAAAGGCAAAACUGGCAAAAUUUUCUAGUCAUAUGUUCUUCAAUGGCGUUGAAUUGCGUACAAUCGCGGAUCGGGAAUGGCAUCGUAAAGCCAAGGUUUAGAUUCAUCGAUUUUGGGUUAAUUUUCGCCAUCAAAGGAAUCAUCACUUUCAUGGUAGUUGAUUUCUAAACCAAACAACAAUUUUAUUCUUAAAAAUGGAGGAUUUUCAAUAAAAUUUCUGUUUCUCCUUCAAGUUUGUGUUAUAAAAGAGCUGAAGGACUGAAUAAAAGAAAAUAAGUCAAUACUACCCAUGA